UACGUAGGGCGCAAGCGUUAUCCGGAAUUAUUGGGCGUAAAGCGCACGUAGGCGGUUCGUUAUGUCGGAUGUGAAAGCCCUUGGCUUAACCGAGGAAGUGCAUCCGAAACUGGCGAGCUAGAGUACUAAAGAGGAUCGCGGAAUUCCCGGUGUAGAGGUGAAAUUCGUAGAUAUCGGGAGGAACACCGGUGGCGAAGGCGGCGAUCUGGGUAGAUACUGACGCUGAGGUGCGAAAGCGUGGGGAGCAAACAGG
rnacentral:rRNA from 1 species